GUCGCAGUAGCAUAGCGGUUAGUGCACAAUCCCGGAUAGGUUGGUACGCGGGUUCGAAUCCCGCCAAAGAUG
rnacentral:tRNA from 1 species